rnacentral:rRNA from 1 species
GUAGUCUCGCACAGAUGCAUAUCAAUAAGCGGAGGAAAAGAAACUAACAAGGAUUCCCUCAGUAACGGCGAGUGAAGCGGGAAGAGCUCAAAUUUGAAAUCUUGAAAGGUCACCUUUCACGAAUUGUAGUUUAUAGAAGUGUUUUCUGUUACGAUCGUAAUAUAAGUUCUUUGGAAUAGGACAUCACAGAGGGUGAGAAUCCCGUCUAUGAUUGCGAUUUGUAGCUUUGUGUUACACUUUCAAAGAGUCGGGUUGUUUGGGAAUGCAGCCCAAAACGGGAGGUAAAUUUCUUCUAAGGCUAAAUAUUGGCGAGAGACCGAUAGCGAACAAGUACCGUGAGGGAAAGAUGAAAAGAACUUUGAAAAGAGAGUUAAAUAGUACGUGAAAUUGUCAAAAGGGAAGCGUUUAACACCAGUGUUGUUUUCUGAAAAUCAACCUCUGUUAGCUUUAUGCAUGUUUGUUUAGACCUAAUCAGCUAUCUUGCAUGUUCUAUUGUUUGCAGUGGUGCACUUUUCAGUUUACAGGUCAACAUCAGUUUUUUUUACCGUAAAAAAGUUAAAGAAAGGUAGCUCAUGGCUCCGGUCGUGAGUGUUAUAGUCUUUUUCCUAUGCGGUAGGAGAGACUGAGGUCUGCAGUGUAGGCUAUUUGGCUAGAUACUCAGGUGCUAUGUGAUACCAUUUCAUAAACAACUUGUUGAUUAUGUUUUGUCUAUUGCAUACUCGCUUGUACUAUCAUACCUACGCUUAGGAUGUUGAGUCGUAGAGCACGCAG